rnacentral:rRNA from 1 species
UCCGUAGGUGAACCUGCGGAAGGAUCAUUAACACUAAUCCAUCUCAACUCAACCUAGCCUUCAGUUGCCUCAGCAGCGUUGCCUCGUGCAAUGCAGCUGGAGCAGCACACACAAACAUAAUCACGCAAAGGAGCCUAACUAAGCUCAACCAUAAAUCCAAAUUCUCAACGAUGGAUAUCUUGGUUCCCAUAACGAUGAAGAACGCAGCGAAGUGCGAUAAGCAAUGCGAAUUGCAGAACCGUGAGUCAUCAGAUUUUUGAACGCAACUGGCGCCGACUGGCUCUCCAGUCGGCAUGCUUGUUUCAGUGUCUCUUUAUCUCAUCACCCAGAUCAUAAUGCGAGAGAUACCCUUCUCUUGCUAAGCACGAAAGCACUCUGCGCUCUGCGAGCGAUCUCGGCUAGUUCGAGGUCGCACUCAAUGCAGCAGUCACAUUGCUCACAAUGUGAACUCAUUGAGAGCUGAGGCAGUGCGGUGCAAACCGCGAGUGCUUAGUCACCCAAACUUUCUUUGGCAUCUGGAAAUCAAGGCAGGGAUCACCCGCUGAACUUAAGGCAUAUCAAUAAGGCGGGGAGGGGGAAGGGUCGGACUGG